rnacentral:rRNA from 1 species
UACGGAGGAUGCGAGCGUUAUCCGGAUUUAUUGGGUUUAAAGGGUGCGCAGGCGGCACGGCAAGCCGGCGGUCAAAUCGCGGGGCUCAACCCCGCCCAGCCGUCGGAACUGCCGGGCUAGAGUGGGCGAGAAGUGCGCGGAAUGCGUGGUGUAGCGGUGAAAUGCAUAGAUAUCACGCAGAACCCCGAUUGCGAAGGCAGCCUUCCGGCGCCCUACUGACGCUGAGGCACGAAAGUGCGGGGAUCGAACAGG